AUUGAACGCUGGCGGCAUGCUUUACACAUGCAAGUCGGACGGCAGCACAGAGAAGCUUGCUUCUUGGGUGGCGAGUGGCGAACGGGUGAGUAAUAUAUCGGAACGUACCGAGUAAUGGGGGAUAACUAAUCGAAAGAUUAGCUAAUACCGCAUAUUCUCGGAGGAGGAAAGCAGGGGACCUUCGGGCCUUGCGUUAUUCGAGCGGCCGAUAUCUGAUUAGCUAGUUGGUGGGGUAAAGGCCUACCAAGGCGACGAUCAGUAGCGGGUCUGAGAGGAUGAUCAGCCACACUGGGACUGAGACACGGCCCAGACUCCUACGGGAGGAAGCAGUGGGGAAUUUUGGACAAUGGGCGAAAGCCUGAUCCAGCCAUGCCGCGUGUCUGAAGAAGGCCUUCGGGUUGUAAAGGACUUUUGUCAGGGAAGAAAAGGCUGUUGCUAAUAUCGACAGCUGAUGACGGUACCUGAAGAAUAAGCACCGGCUAACUACGUG
rnacentral:rRNA from 1 species